AUCCCCUGAGUAUGCAAGUACAGAUAAUUUCCACUUAUCAAGCCUUAGCUAGCCCUAAGAGGGGAUA
rnacentral:tRNA from 1 species